rnacentral:rRNA from 1 species
GAUGAACGCUGGCGGCGUGCUUAACACAUGCAAGUCGAACGGUGAAGGCGGAGCUUGCUCUGCUGGAUCAGUGGCGAACGGGUGAGUAACACGUGAGCAAUCUGCCCCUGACUCUGGGAUAAGCGCUGGAAACGGCGUCUAAUACUGGAUACGAGCUGCGAAGGCAUCUUCAGCAGCUGGAAAGAAUUUCGGUCAGGGAUGAGCUCGCGGCCUAUCAGCUUGUUGGUGAGGUAAUGGCUCACCAAGGCGUCGACGGGUAGCCGGCCUGAGAGGGUGACCGGCCACACGGGGACUGAGACACGGCCCAGACUCCUACGGGAGGCAGCAGUGGGGAAUAUUGCACAAUGGGCGAAAGCCUGAUGCAGCAACGCCGCGUGAGGGACGACGGCCUUCGGGUGGUAAACCUCUUUUAGCAGGGAAGAAGCGAAAGUGACGGUACCUGCAGAAAAAGCGCCGGCUAACUACGU